rnacentral:lncRNA from 12 species
UUUCUAAAAUCUUACAAUCACUCCUGGGAAAGAGUCUAGCAGUUUUGUCCAAAAAAUAUUUUGCAUACAAUUAACACAUAAUUCAGCAGUAGCACUCCUGGGAAAUUAUUCCAGAGAAAUGAAAAUUAAAAUAAAAGCGUUUACACAGCCAUUACACAUGUGAAGUCACCUCUGCAGAGAUGAUAAAGAUUUCUCAAAUGUCUUCUAUGUUGAUUUUUAAAAGAUUUGAGAGAGCAUGCAGUGAGACGGGCAGAGGGUAAGGGAGACUCUGAAGCAGAUUCCCCCCGCUGUCGGGGCCGAGCCCCACCUGAGGCUCCACACCACAACCUCGAGAUCCUGAACUGAGCCAAAAUCAAGAGUAGAUGUUUAGCUGACUGAACCACCCAGAAGCCCCUCAAAUGUUCUUAAGUGCAAAAUCCAUGCUGUGAACCCUUGGGGAUGGAAGGACAGCUGGGACACCCAGUCUACCUAGAAGGGUGGGAGGCCUGGAGGGCCUGAAGGUGGGAACUAAGGAUGUGGGAGGGUGCCUGCAACCCCUUCCCAUCUGGCAUGAGACAGGACCUCCCCGCGCACCCUUGGCCUUCAGGGUGCCAGGCUAAGUGCUGACUGGACCCCCGACCUACAGUGAUGACACGGGACCCCAUUGUGGGCGGAACUGUGGUGCCCCAGGGUUCCACCACUGCCUGGCACUACUCUGCGACCCCAGGCAGUUGGAGGCACCUGUGCUCUGGAUUUGCUCACAGUGCCCAAACUAUUCCACUCUCCCCAGUACCCCAGUGUAUAAAGUGUAGGUGCUCACAAAGCGACAGGUCACAGAAACCUUCAGUCUGCUCCAAGCCCGCAGGAACACUCACCUGAAGCCAUCCAUAGCCAUCUCAGCGCCAGCCCUGAGUUGGGACACGUCACCCCAAGUAUCAGGUCAGCAGUUCCCCUAGCCUCCUGGGCUCCCUUGUGCUCCUGGUAAGGAGGUGGGAGAGCUCUGUCCUCUGAGCAUGAUGGCGUGUCCUAGGACAGUGGCUGGGAAGGUGGAUGGUAGGUGGGCGAGCUACAGACAGUCAGUGCCCAUGAGUGAUCCUCUAGCCCAGCAUGUCCCCUGGGAGCUAUGGUGUUGUCUCCACACUCCAGUCAGACAGAUGGGGACCUGCCAACAGGGAGCACACAGACGCUUGUGUUCUCUGAAGGUUUUCUUUUUUUUUUUUUUUAAUUUUUUUUAAGUUUUAUUUAUUUAUGAUAGUCACAGAGAGAGAGAGAGAGGCAGAGACAUAGGCAGAGGGAGAAGCAGGCUCCAUGCACCGGGAGCCUGAUGUGGGAUUCGAUCCCAGGUCUCCAGGAUCGCGCCCUGGGCCAAAGGCAGGCGCCAAACCGCUGCGCCACCCAGGGAUCCCCUCUGAAGGUUUUCAUGCGGUGUCAUCCUUGAAUGUGUUUGGUUUGUAGCACCAGGCAAGAGGACCUAGAGACCCUGCUAGCCUUGGAAAGGGCUGAUAUCAUAGCCGAAUACCAUCAGCUGAGGCCCAGACAAGUACCAUAGAUGCUAGAGAACCCACUAGAGGUGGGGACCCUUCCUGCAAGGGCAGGUGAAUCCCAGGAAUGGAUCAGAGGCAAGCAUGACAGGUCAGUCCAGAGAAGGACCACAGUCACCAAGAACAAAUGAGAUGCUGGGGAUGGACCCAGGCAUCAGGAGCAAGUGAGGGUCCAUCCUGGAUCUUAGACACCAGUAGCCGAUGAACCCAGGUGGGGAUCACAGUCACCAGGUCCCCAUGAGGCCCAGGUGGUUGUAUACUUAGGUAUGUGGCAGCCGGUAUGGCCCAAAUGGUAUCAUAAGCAGUAACACCAAUUAUGUACCGGUUGAGGAUCAUAG